UGGGGAAUCUUGCACAAUGGGGGCAACCCUGAUGCAGCGACGCCGCGUGAGCGAUGAAGCCCUUCGGGGCGUAAAGCUCUUUCGACCGGAACGAUACUGACGGUACCGGGAGAAGAAGCUGCGGCUAACUACGUGCCAGCAGCCGCGGUAAUACGUAGGCAGCAAGCGUUGUUCGGAGUUACUGGGCGUAAAGAGUGCGUAGGCGGUUUUCUAAGUUCGGUGUGAAAUCUCCCGGCUUAACUGGGAGGGUGCGCCGAAGACUGGGAAGCUGGAGUGUGGGAAAGGCAGGCGGAAUUCCUGGUGUAGCGGUGAAAUGCGUAGAUAUCAGGAGGAACACCGGCGGUGUAGACGGCUUGCUAGACCAUAACUGACGCUGAGGCACGAAAGCGUGGGUAGCAAACA
rnacentral:rRNA from 1 species